rnacentral:rRNA from 1 species
UACAGAGGGGCAAGCGUUAUUCGGAAUUAUUGGGCGUAAAGGGCGCGUAGGCGGCCUUCUAAGUCGAACGUGAAAUCCCUGGCUCAACCCAGGAACUGCGUCCGAUACUGGAAGGCUUGAAUCCGGGAGAGGGAUGCGGAAUUCCAGGUGUAGCGGUGAAAUGCGUAGAUAUCUGGAGGAACACCGGUGGCGAAGGCGGCAUCCUGGACCGGUAUUGACACUGAAAAACGAAAGCGUGGGGAUCAAACAGGAUUAGGAUAACCCCAGUAGU